rnacentral:rRNA from 1 species
AUUCCAGCUCCAAUAGCGUAUAUUAAAGUUGUUGUGGUUAAAAAGCUCGUAGUUGGAUCUCAACAGCCUUGAAGCGGUUAACUUUGUAGUUUUACUGCUUUAUAGGCUGUGCUUUUGCUGGAGGUUUAGGGGUGCUCUUGAUCGAGUGUCUCUGGAUGCCAGCAGGUUUACUUUGAAAAAAUUAGAGUGCUCAAAGCAGGCUAAAAUGCCUGAAUAUUCGUGCAUGGAAUAAUAGAAUAGGAUGUCGAUCCUAUUUUGUUGGUUUCUAGAGCUGAGGUAAUGAUUGAUAGGGAUAGUUGGGGGCAUUCGUAUUUAACUGUCAGAGGUGAAAUUCUUGGAUUUGUUAAAGACAGACUACUGCGAAAGCAUUUGCCAAGGAUGUUUUCAUUA